GAUGGUUGAUCAAUGAUUAAGAAUCAUUCUAGGGUUAAAUGAUCAUACGAUUGACAUUUAACCCAGUGCAAGUAUUGCAGGAGGAUCGAUUAGCAAUUCGAUUGCUAAUUAGCUUAAUUUGAUUAAGCCAAUGGGCUGAGAUUAAGUCUAAUUAAAUAUGAUUUAAUUAGAUUUUAUUUGAGCUUGAUUGGAUCAAGUCCAAUUGGUUUAUUGGAUAAGCCAAGUGCAAGGAAAAACUAGUCCUAGUUCAACUAGGACUUGGGUCAAUCUAAUUUCUAAUUUGAUUAGAAAGUUAAAUCAGAUUUAAAUCUAAUUUAAUCUGAUUAAAUUAGGUUCUUAAUUGGGUUAAGACCUAUUUUAAUUGGGUUGAUCUAAUUUUGAUUUGAUUUGGUUUGGGAAACCAAAUUAAAAUAAGUCAUAAGACAGAAUCCUAGUAAGACUAGGAUUCCACCUUACGCCACAUAAGCCUUCCCCACGCCCUCUCUCUUAUUCAACGCCAAUCUCCACUUAUUUUGUGUGACAAAAGCCCUCUCCCAGGUCUCUCCCACGUUCACAAAAGGUUUCCUCUCUUCUUUCUUACAAGGAAGGUGGUUUGGAUCAAAUAAAAAAGGAAUAAGUUUGGAUUUCGAAUUCUAUGAGAUAGAGUUUUAGAAAUCCAAAACUCUUUCAAUUUUGCACCGAAUUUAUCCAAUUUUUUUUUGAAAUUUUCGUGGCUUUUAGGGUA
rnacentral:lncRNA from 1 species